UACGUAGGGGGCAAGCGUUGUCCGGAUUUAUUGGGCGUAAAGAGCGUGUAGGCGGCUAGGUAGGUCCGUUGUGAAAACUCGAGGCUCAACCUCGAGACGCCGAUGGAAACCAUCUGACUAGAGUCCGGAAGAGGAGAGUGGAAUUCCUGGUGUAGCGGUGAAAUGCGCAGAUAUCAGGAAGAACACCCGUGGCUAAGGCGGCUCUCUAGUACGGUACUGACGCUGAGACGCGAAAGCGUGGGGAGCGAACAGG
rnacentral:rRNA from 1 species